rnacentral:sRNA from 2 species
CUAGAUGGGUUUACAGUUUCAUCUAACUGGGUGUCCGGAAACAUUUUGUAAAUAUUGCUCCGCUAAGUCCUUUUCUUUACCCAAGACUUUACGAUGGGCCUGAGGCGUCUGUGACCAGAGGAUGAAAGAUGCAUCUUUGAUGGUUUAAGCGGGGAGGAAUCCAGCCGCCCCAUGAGCGUCAUGGCCCCCAUCGGGAGCGGAUUGAAUUGGAAAGCCGCCUUAAUGGCUUCGGGAAAAUAUUUACCAUGGUUAAGCGAAAUCAACUUGACUCCACAGGAACCAAACGAACUCGGGC